rnacentral:rRNA from 1 species
UACGGAGGGUGCAAGCGUUGUCCGGAAUCACUGGGCGUAAAGGGCGCGUAGGCGGCUCAUGAAGGCUGUGGUGAAAGUCCGGGGCUCAACCCCGAGUCGGCCGUGCGAACUGCUGGGCUUGAGCACUGUAGAGGCAGGCGGAAUUCCGGGUGUAGCGGUGGAAUGCGUAGAGAUCCGGAAGAACACCGGUGGCGAAGGCGGCCUGCUGGGCAGUAGCUGACACUGAGGCGCGACAGCGUGGGGAGCAAACAGG